rnacentral:rRNA from 1 species
UACGUAGGCAGCGAGCGUUGUUCGGAGUUACUGGGCGUAAAGAGCGUGUAGGCGGCCAUACAGGUCCGUUGUGAAAACUCGAGGCUUAACCUCGAGACGUCGAUGGAAACCGUAUGGCUAGAGUCCGGAAGAGGAGAGUGGAAUUCCUGGUGUAGCGGUGAAAUGCGCAGAUAUCAGGAAGAACACCCGUGGCGAAGGCGGGUCUCUGGGCCGAUACUGACGCUGAGGAGCGAAAGCGUGGGGAGCGAACAGG